rnacentral:rRNA from 1 species
CCUACGGGGGGCAGCAGUGAGGAAUCUUGGUCAAUGGACGAGAGUCUGAACCAGCCAAGUAGCGUGAAGGAUGACUGCCCUAUGGGUUGUAAACUUCUUUUAUAUGGGAAUAAAAUGUUCCACGUGUGGGAUUUUGUAUGUACCAUAUGAAUAAGCAUCGGCUAACUCCGUGCCAGCAGCCGCGGUAAUACGGAGGAUGCGAGCGUUAUCCGGAUUUAUUGGGUUUAAAGGGAGCGUAGGUCGAAUGUUAAGUCAGUGGUGAAAGUUUUCGGCUCAACCGUAGCAGUGCAGUUGAAACUGGCAGUCUUGAGUGACGUAGAGGUGUGCGGAAUGCGUGGUGUAGCGGUGAAAUGCUUAGAUAUCACGAAGAACUCCGAUUGCGAAGGCAGCAUACUGGACUGCAACUGACACUGAGGCUCGAAAGUGUGGGUAUCAAACAGGAUUAGAUACCCUGGUAGUC